GACGACAGAGAGUCAGUACCUUGGUUUAACGUCUCAUCUGAAGCAUGGUGCUUGUUGACAGUGUCCCUAUCACUAUUCUGGGGCAUUAGGACCCACACAGACCACAGGGUGAGCACCCCCUGCUGGCCUCACUAGCACCUCUUCCAGCAUCAAACAAGUUUUCCCAUGAAGUCUCCAGUCCUGGUACUGACCAGGCUCAACCCUGCUUAGCUUCAGUGGGCAACCAGUCUUGGGCUACAGGGCGAUAUGGCUACUGCUCCAUAUAUUGCAACCAAAAUCACAAAUUUCCAUAGGUGAAAAACAAUAUGUGAGUAUACUUCACAGCACUGGUAAAUCAAUAAGUGAAAAAGUACCCGGAUGACCUUCUAGUCUACUUCUGUAGUUUUUGAAUUUGAGACAGGCUAAUAAUCAAAGACCCUAUAUGCAGGUUACACCAGUAGGAGGUGACAAGUGACUGCUUUACGCACUAAUAAUUUCAUCAACCAAUUCGUUCAAAAACUUCUCUCUUCAUCUCUCCUCCCUCUCACAGCAUGGAAACACUUUCUCUCUACGCCACACCUUAUCACGUCCCAUUCACAGCGUCAUGGCAUUUGAGGGACAUGAUACCAAGGUUUAUUGUUCUGUCAUCAUUGGAGGAAAUCAUGAUAGCAUCCAUCACCAUCUACAAAGCUUGUCUGUUAUCUACAUAUCUCCUGAACUGCUAGGUGUCCUGUCCUCCAUUGCUGUCUUCAUGGUCGUGAUCACUCUGCAUUUUCUUUACCUCAGCAGUAAGCUUUCAGUGGAGAGCCCAAGCAGUGAGCUGCCACGUUUUGAAGGUUUUAACAAAGGUUUGCAAGAAAAAGGAUCAUCUGAGAGCGAGGACGAAACACCAAAAAGACACAUGGACUCAUCCUCUCAUGAGCAAAGAAGUGGGUGGAGAGACAGGGAUGCUGAGAAUGAGGAUUGCAGCAGUGAAGCCUAUGCUGAGCAAGUUAAAAGGAAAAAAGAUUCAAGGUCCCUGAAUGAACAUCAGCCUCCACCAUACCAGGACAAAGAUGAUCUCAAGGGUGGCUCAAGGGGCCGCACUGACUCAGCAGAGGGCAGUGGAAUUGAGAUCAGUGAGGGUAGUGAAGACCCUGAGGACACAGAGAAUUACCUGAAUAAGGGCUAUGAGGAGGAUGCACCUAUUGACAGCACAGCUGUUUUGGGCCUGGAGGUGAGCGAUUCGGCCCAUCGUUUCCGAUGUAUUCUUCUAUGAGAAUCAUGGCCCCACCUUCAGAUUCACUGAUGAAACUGUCAAAAUCUACAGUGAUCUAUGUCUCCAAGAGAGCUGUUCACUGCAGUUUAUGUUGAGAGAAAUAUUUGUAAAGUUUUUUUUUUCACAAAUCCUAUGUUUUUUGACAUGAGAUUUUUUUUAAAUUCAUUUUGUUUUCUUUGAGUCAAAGUAUGCAACGCCAAACUGAUAAACAAGACACUUGUCUUCCAUUUCUCUUUUUUACCCAUUCCUGUCAGUUUGGAUUUCCAUUCACUGGUGUCCUCUUUUUAGACCAAUGUGAAGUAAUAUUUUCAGUUGAUUAUUAAAAUUUAAUUUCAUUGUCACAUGAAUGAGUCAUAUCACUGCUGGAUUUAAUUAUGAGGAGCAAGGAGGACAGUUCAAGGAUUCUCUGGCUGGGGUUUGGCUCAUUUUGUCCACAUCUG
ensembl:lncRNA